UCAGAAAAUUCCAAACUAGCUCUAGUCAUCACUUUUUCUGAAAGGUCACAUGUCCACAAAAUGGAAACUGCAAUGUGUGCGGAAAAGCAGUUUAGAAAAACAUAGCAGCAUAGUGUCUGUAUCUCUGUUUCACCUGCUACUAAUGCCUGUAUUAGUAAUGCAAAAACAGAAUUGUCACUGAGCAGACUGAGAACAGAAGGUCGUGUGAGAAGUUCAACAUCAUACAGAACCACACUCACCGUAGGUGAAAAAUGACAGGUUUUACUACAUGUGAUGCUGCCAUUCUUCUUUUUUUUAACUUGCCCACUGUGUUUACAAUAAAUAAAAAAAAAAAAUAAAUCCACUUUUAAAUCCUAUUUCUAUAUAUAUAUAUAUAUAAUUUUAAUUAAAAAAAUGUAAUUAUGUCUUGGAAGCCAUCAACACCACUUGCCAUACCCAGUGCUUGAUGCCCUCUGACGUGACCACAGGACCCAAGCACUGUGUGUGCCUGCUCGCACUCUGCCCACUCCUGGCAGAUCCUUUCCCUGAAUUGUGGCUGCCUUUUGUUUCUGUCUGUGCAAAGGUCUGACCCUAACAAUGUUGGCGGAAGGAAGGAAGGAAAGGUUUGUAGAAACCUUUGCAAACUCUUUUUUCCUCAAACGUCUCCCCAGAGGGCCAAUAGAAACACAGAGUUAGCUCUUCAGAUAUCCAGUCCAAGGGGGACACUUCAGGAAAGAAAUUCAGCUAAAGAGCUUCCAGCACUUGAUGACUUAUUGUUUGUUCCUUCCUUCCCGCUCCCGGGCUUCAUCAGGAACAUCUAAUUAAAUUACAAGUAUUUCAGUCUGGAAAUAGCAUGUCCAUACUGCUGAACUUUGGGAUGGUGAUGGGAAGCAGCAGCAGCUGAUGGAGCAGCAAGGCUGGCAGGAGUUGGGUGGCCCACAUGGUGCCGGCGGCCCCCCCUCCGGCGGGCUGGCGGGGAGGAGGAGAGGAGAUGGCUCCUCGGAAGGACCCUGUGUACAGCCGGUCACUCGAGGAAGCAGAGUGAGCCGAGCCGCUUUUUAUUGCGAUGAUCUAAGUUUGUUGUGUGAUUAACUGGAAAGAUCUGGGUCCCAACUCCCUCUUACGCCAGAACACCUGUUCCUGCCCACAGACGUCUCCCCUCACAAAGUCGCCCUUUCUCCACCUGCCCUUUGGCCUCAUAUGCAGGCAGGACCCUCAACCAUGGCUGUUUCAGCAGGACUCCUGCUGCCCCAUAGCCAGGAACAAAGCAAGACCGUUUCCUGGUUAAGAAGCACAACUUUCCUCCGACCUGUCCAUGGCUCCCCCUUGGCCACUGGCCUGGCCUUUCCAUCACCC